GACGAACGCUGGCGGCGUGCUUAACACAUGCAAGUCGAACGAAGUUCGUAGCAAUACGAACUUAGUGGCGGACGGGUGAGUAACGCGUGGGCAACCUGCCCUUCAGAGGGGGAUAACACUAAGAAAUUGGUGCUAAUACCGCAUAAGAUAGUAGAGUCGCAUGACUUAGCUAUCAAAGGAGUAAUCCGCUGAAGGAUGGGCCCGCGUCUGAUUAGGUAGUUGGUGAGGUAAUGGCUCACCAAGCCUACGAUCAGUAGCCGAUCUGAGAGGAUGAACGGCCACACUGGAACUGAGACACGGUCCAGACUCCUACGGGAGGCAGCAGUGGGGAAUACUGCGCAAUGGGCGAAAGCCUGACGCAGCAACGCCGCGUGAGGGAUGACGGCCUUCGGGUUGUAAACCUCUUUCAGCAGGGAAGAAGCGAAAGUGACGGUACCUGCAGAAGAAGCACCGGCUAACUACGUGCCAGCCGCCGCAGUAA
rnacentral:rRNA from 1 species